rnacentral:rRNA from 1 species
CCGCAUACGUCCUACGGGAGAAAGCAGGGGACCUUCGGGCCUUGCGCUAUCAGAUGAGCCUAGGUCGGAUUAGCUAGUUGGUGAGGUAAUGGCUCACCAAGGCGACGAUCCGUAACUGGUCUGAGAGGAUGAUCAGUCACACUGGAACUGAGACACGGUCCAGACUCCUACGGGAGGCAGCAGUGGGGAAUAUUGGACAAUGGGCGAAAGCCUGAUCCAGCCAGGCCGCGUGUGUGAAGAAGGUCUUCGGAUUGU